rnacentral:rRNA from 1 species
CCUACGGGUGGCAGCAGUAGGGAAUAUUGCUCAAUGGGGGAAACCCUGAAGCAGCAACGCCGCGUGGAGGAUGACGGUUUUAGGAUUGUUAACUCCUUUUGUUAGAGAAGUUUAUGACGGUACCUAACGAAUAAGCACCGGCGAAAUCCGUGCCAGCAGCCGUGGUAAUACGGAGGGUGCCAGCGUUAUUCGGAAUCACUGGGCGUAAAGAGUGCGUAGGCGGGGUAAUAAGUCAGAUGUGAAAUCCUGUAGCUUAACUACAGAACUGCAUUUGAAACUGUUACUCUGGAGUGUGGGAGAGGUAGGUGGAAUUCGUGGUGUAGGGGUGAAAUGCGUAGAGAUCAAGAAGAAUACUGAUUGCGAAGGCGACCUGCUGGAACAUUACUGACGCUGAUGCACGAAAGCGUGGGGAGCAAACAGGAUUAGAUACCCUUGUAGUC